rnacentral:sRNA from 1 species
GGCAGGAGGGUAGUCUGGCUGUCACCCUCAGGGGUAAUCUGGUUAACCGGGCUGGCUAGCCAAGCGUCCCUUCCCACCCUCACUGUGCCAUGGGCAUCUUGACGCCUUCUACUCAGUUCGAGAGGACCACCUUUCUGGACAGAGAAGGGUGUUCCUUCAUCAACGGUACACAAGGGAGCUGUGCUGCCCACUAGAGCUUCCUUCAAGAAAACGGCCACUAGGUUGACUAUUUGUUUAAAUGAGAUUGACUUGAAACUCUUCUUACAUAAGUCUCUUU